ensembl:lncRNA
CUGAGACACUGACUGCUUCAAAAGAAGAAGAUGUACUUCUUUCCUGCUUUGAUUCAAAUGUGAUGGAUCCAAGUGGCCGCGACAGAUUCAAGUUGAUUAAGUAUGCUACAAUUUCCAGUUCGAUGGAGGUUAUACUUGCCAGGCCUACAACAACCAACCACGCGGAUGCUAAAAGAGUAAAAUUGGAGGUUAAUGGAACUAAAGUGUGUGUUUUUCUGAAAAAAAUCCAACCAUCCGAUGAGGGACUGUAUGGAUGUGAAAUCUGCAAAGGGUGGGACUGUACUUUGAAAAACGUUUCUUUAAAGGUGAAAGGUAAGAUUACAUAUUAGCUACUCAUUUUUCCUCUUUGUCAUAGAAAUGUCACGUACGUAUCACACAAAUCUCACCUUUUUUAGAUUGCAAAACCCUUCCAGCAGUAAAGGCAAAUGCUAGCGCGCCUGUUAACCUGUCCUGCCCGGUGGACAACACGGACCCCAAAAUAUAUCCCCAAAAUAUAUCCUGGUUUAAGGUGAAAUCAGGCAACGCUGUAUCUCUCAACUCUGAAGGGGUUGAAAUGAAUGGGACAUCCUUAGCUUUCCUGUCUGUGCAACCCAGUGACAGCGGUUGGUUUGGAUGUAAGUACGUGCUCGGACAAACUCAGCGCUGCUAUGAAUUUAAUCUACGGGUCCAAGACAAAAAGGAGGUUGUGGCCACAGCAGUUCCAGGACUGGAAAUCAGUGAGUCUGUUAGGCAGACAAAGACAAAGAUGGAAACUGAGACGGAGACGGCGACGGAAAGGAACAGUGUAGCAUUUCUGCCUGUUGUUGUGACUUCAGUCAUUAUUGGCACUGCCAUAAUGGCUGCACUGAUAGGACUCUUCGUUUACUGCAGCCGUAACACCCAAAGAGUUACGCAGCAGACCCUCAGGCACACGCCACCAGGUACUCUUAUGCAUGCGUAUGAGGUUGUGAAUGUGACCCCUACAGAAGAUGGUGCGUGUCUAGACAACUCUCUGUACCAGCAGUUUGUGGAUGAAAGCCUGUGUACUUUUCGUUAUUAG